UUUUGAAAAUGAAAACAGCCAAUGAACAAGAGAACAAAAGUGUCCAUGGUUAAGACCUAAAGGAACAGCUCAACUUGGAGCUAUUGCAGAAGUGGAUAAAACCCAUACUGAGUCUGACACCUGCACUCCAGCCUGGACUCAGAGGUCCAAAGCAAAUCCUCAUCCAUCGUCCAGCCAACCUUUACUGAAGAUACCCUCCCAGACACUGCAAUUCGGUAAGAGAAGGGACCCAAAGGACCAAACAGAAAAAUAUGCAUCAGUGUUGAGAAAUAACAGU